rnacentral:lncRNA from 1 species
AUAUCAAAUUGCUUGCCCUCUCAGAGAUGGGAGGGAAGGAGAGAAUUUGGGUAGAAAAAAUAUCAGAAAACAAAUAUUAAAAAUUAUUUCUCUGUGGAAUUGGGAAAAAUACAAUAAAAUAUUAGUGGAGGAAAAAAUAGAGUAUUUAGCAAUGUGGUGUGGUAGUAAGCAUGUUGGAUUUGGAGUAGAAAGACCUAGAUUAUUAAUAUUUUGGCUUUGUCCCUUAGUUCCCAUGAGAACUUGAGCAAAUCAUUUAAACUCAUUGGAUUUCUUCCCCAUCUGUGGAAUGCUAGUAAGCUCUAUGAUCCUAAGCUCUUCUUCCCAAUCUCCUCUAUUGCUUGCAGCUGUGAAUGGGAAAGCUUCUCCAAGUCCCAUUUAAGGAGUGACUUAGCAGCAGCCAAGAAGGUCCAGACCUAGUCUGAGGUCUCUGAGAAGGCCAGGAAGAAUCCCCAGAUCCCUCAGCUCUUUAAAUGUCAACAAACCACAGCUGAAAAUGGCAGAUAAGGGACUCCAGGUGUUUCAACAAACAACAGAUGCCUAACAAAGGACAGGGUAGAACCUCAGCUGGAACAAGGACAAACGUCGGCCCUCCUGCUUGCCUCGAAGGAUGCUGGAGACUGGAGAACUUUGGAACCAUACAAGCUUUUAUACCAUUGCAGUGACACAUAUGAGUACAGCAGAAAGUCUUCGCGCCACCUUAAGCGUUCAUUAAUCUUGUUGUUUAGUCAUUCAGUUGUGUCCAAUUCUUUGCGACUCCAUCUGGGGUUUUCUUGGCAGAGACACUAGAGCAGUUUGCCAUUUCCUUCUCCAGAGAGUUUAAGUGACUUGCCCAGGAUCACACUCUGAGGCUAAAUUUGGUUUCAUGUCUUCUUGACUUCAAGCCUAGAGCUCUGUCCACUGAGCCACCUAGCUGCUUCCUUGAGCAUUAAUUAAUUAUUCUAGGAGACAGGUGGUUCUGUUCAAAUUUGGCCUCACACACUUCCUAGCUGGGUGACCCUGGGCAAGUCACUUAACCCCCAUUGCCUAGCCCUUACCACUCUUCUGACUUGGAACCAAUACACACAGUGUUGAUUCUAAGAUAGAAGGUAAAAGAUAAAAAAUAAAGCAUUAAUUAUUUUAUGUUAAUUAACA